rnacentral:rRNA from 1 species
GACGAACGCUGGCGGCGUGCUUAACACAUGCAAGUCGAACGGAAAGGCCCUGCUUUUGUGGGGUGCUCGAGUGGCGAACGGGUGAGUAACACGUGAGUAACCUGCCCUUGACUCUGGGAUAACUUCAGGAAACUGGGGCUAAUACCGGAUAGGAGCUCCUGCUGCAUGGUGGGGGUUGGAAAGUUUCGGCGGUUGGGGAUGGACUCGCGGCUUAUCAGCUUGUUGGUGGGGUAGUGGCUUACCAAGGCUUUGACGGGUAGCCGGCCUGAGAGGGUGACCGGCCACAUUGGGACUGAGAUACGGCCCAGACUCCUACGGGAGGCAGCAGUGGGGAAUAUUGCACAAUGGGCGGAAGCCUGAUGCAGCAACGCCGCGUGCGGGAUGACGGCCUUCGGGUUGUAAACCGCUUUCGCCUGUGACGAAGCGUGAGUGACGGUAAUGGGUAAAGAAGCACCGGCUAACUACG